UCUGACUCCCCUGAGCCAUCUAGAUCCAGAGGGACAAGUUCUGAUUCUCUUUUUUGUUCAGCAAUGUUCCCAAAGGAUAUUUAUGAAGUAACUAAGGGAGAAACAAAUAUAAGAAAAACAGAAAAGCAUGGGAAUAACUGGAGAUGAAGAAACAAUUAUGGAAAGGUCAACAAUUUUCCAGAUGUGGAUUGAAGACCCUAUAACAUCUCUGACACUCUUUAAAGAGGUUAUCAGUGAAUCAGACAGAGCUCAUUAAACACCUACCAUUUGUUAGUCUCUGUACUCUGCACUAUUAUUAUCUCUGUUACUUCUAAAGAACACUUCUCAUGUAACAAAUAAGCAUAGUCAAUAAAAAUGAAUUCAUGCUUUGUAUGGGUCUGAAA
rnacentral:lncRNA from 1 species